rnacentral:rRNA from 1 species
UACGGAGGGGGCUAGCGUUGUUCGGAAUUACUGGGCGUAAAGCGCACGUAGGCGGCUUUGCAAGUUAGAGGUGAAAGCCCGGGGCCUCAACUCCGGAAUUGCCUUUAAAACUGCAUCGCUAGAAUUGUGGAGAGGUAAGUGGAAUUCCGAGUGUAGAGGUGAAAUUCGCAGAUAUUCGGAAGAACACCAGUGGCGAAGGCGACUUACUGGACACAUAUUGACGCUGAGGUGCGAAAGCGUGGGGAGCAAACAGG